rnacentral:rRNA from 1 species
UACGGAGGGUGCGAGCGUUGUCCGGAAUCACUGGGCGUAAAGGGCGCGUAGGUGGCGCGGGAAGUCAACGGUGAAAGUUCGGGGCUCAACCCUGAAUCGGCCGUCGAUACUCCCGGGCUCGAGCACUGUAGAGGCAGAUGGAAUUCCGGGUGUAGCGGUGGAAUGCGUAGAGAUCCGGAAGAACACCGGUGGCGAAGGCGGUCUGCUGGGCAGUUUCUGACACUGAGGCGCGACAGCGUGGGGAGCAAACAGG